rnacentral:rRNA from 1 species
GAUAACCUGCCCUUGGGACCUGCAUAACCCCGGGAAACUGGGGAUAAUUCGGGAUAACGCAUAUGUGCUGGAAUGCUUUAUGCGUAAAAAGGAUUCGUCCGCCCAAGGAUGGGUCUGCGGCCUAUCAGGUAGUAGUGGGUGUAAUGUACCUACUAGCCGACAACGGGUACGGGUUGUGAGAGCAAGAGCCCGGAGAUGGAUUCUGAGACAUGAAUCCAGGCCCUACGGGGCGCAGCAGGCGCGAAAACUUUACAAUGCGGGAAACCGUGAUAAGGGGACACCGAGUGUCAGCAUCAUAUGCUGGCUGUCCAGGUGUGUAAAAUACACCUGUUAGCAAGGGCCGGGCAAGACCGGUGCCAGCCGCCGCGGUAACACCGGCGGCCCGAGUGGUGAUCGUGAUUAUUGGGUCUAAAGGGUCCGUAGCCGGUUUGGUCAGUCCUCCGGGAAAUCUGAUAGCUCAACUAUUAGGCUAUCGGGGGAUACUACCAGACUUGGAACCGGGAGAGGUAAGAGGUACUACAGGGGUAGGAGUGAAAUCUUGUAAUCCCUGUGGGACCACCUGUGGCGAAGGCGUCUUACCAGAACGGGUUCGACGGUGAGGGACGAAAGCUGGGGGCACGAACCGGAUUAGAUACCCGGGUAGUCCCAGCCGUAAACGAUGCUCGCUAGGUGUCAGGCAUGGCGCGACCGUGUCUGGUGCCGCAGGGAAGCCGUGAAGCGAGCCACCUGGGAAGUACGGCCGCAAGGCUG